rnacentral:rRNA from 1 species
UACGUAGGGGGCAAGCGUUGUCCGGAAUCAUUGGGCGUAAAGCGCGUGUAGGCGGUUCGGUAAGUCGGCUGUGAAAGUCCAGGGCUCAACCCUGGGAUGCCGGUCGAUACUGCCGGACUAGAGUUCGGAAGAGGCGAGUGGAAUUCCCGGUGUAGCGGUGAAAUGCGCAGAUAUCGGGAGGAACACCUAUGGCGAAGGCAGCUCGCUGGGACGUUACUGACGCUGGAGACGCGAAAGCGUGGGGAGCAAACAGG